rnacentral:piRNA from 1 species
CAGAUGUGGGGACGUGUUAGGAGAGGA